GGAGAGAAUGGCGGGUGUUGUGCUUCCUUAUUUGCCUAUGACCAAACCCUCAACUGUCUUCAAAAUUCCAAAAUAUUCGAGGUUUGCUCUUUGAAUCUCUGAAUAUUCCGAUCACAUUAUCGACGACUGAAUUCUUCGGCAUUCAGCUUUCAUUAUUAUAUCCUUGUUUUAAUCAGCUGUUUGUAAUCGCAGUGCAAAUUUAAGAAUUUGUCGACUGAGCAAAAUUUCCUGCAAUUGUUCAUGUUUUGAAGUAAAAGAUGUUAGCUAUCAAUCUCCAGGGACCAAGCAUUUUGCAACUGGUAUUAUCUGAAUUUGAACACUGGAAGAUCUUAUUUUGGACCUACAAACUGUU